GUGACAUGAGGAUGAUCAGUCUGCAACAUCUGUCACCCUAUUGAUCUGCGGGGUUGAUUUGGGUGAUCUGGCUGACUGGGUGGGUGUUCCCUUCCUCCCUCACCACUCUCCAUGUGAGUCCCUCCCAAAAUUCCAUGCUCAGUCAAAGAGGAGGACUUCCCCAAGUCAUUUGAGGGUAUGCAUGUAGCUACACUCCCCUAAUAGAACCUACGAACAAGCUCUCCACAUCCAAAGUCCCAGGUUCAGUCCCGCACACCGCCAUAAACUAGAGUUGAGCAGUGCUCUGAU
rnacentral:snRNA from 1 species